AUGAAUGAGUGGAUGAAUGAGCGAAUGACGAGGAGGGGGGGUGGCCCGGGGGCGGUGGGAGGGGGGCGUUUCCGGUCGAGGGGGGGGGGCGGAGAGGGGAGGGAGGGCGGGAGCGGCCAAUGGGAGCGGGGGGCGGGACGGCCCGCCACGCCCACCCCCGGGCACCGGCAGGACCGGCGGCAGGAGCGGCGGCAGGAGCGGCGGGAGCGGGCCCGGGCCCACCAUGCCCAAGAGGAAGUCUCCGGACGGUGCCGAGGGCAAAGAUGCGCCAGAAGUGACUCGACGAGAGCCUACCCGGCGGUCGGCCCGAUUAUCAGCCGUGUGAAAAAUGUCUUCGCAGAAACCCGCCGAGCCCAAGCCCGACCCCAAACCGAGGAAAACCGGCGCGAAGAAGGAAGCCGGGACGAAGCGGAACGGAGGCGUCAAGGGGAAGAAGCAGAAGAAGGCCGAAGAGCAGGAAACUGGAAAAGAAGGCACCGAAGACUGACUCCGGCGGGAGCCCGAGGCAAAGAGAUCGAGGCAAAGAAAUGGACGCGGAAAUCUCGGGUGGAUUUUGUGUACCUCCCGGAUGACUUUUCAAAGCUAUUUUUCUCGAGUGUUUUGUAAAUGCUGAUUUUUUUAGGACCGACAGUAGCGGAUGUAGAAAUGUCAAGGAGUGAACGUCUCCCCUCUCGCGAUCGUGCUCUUGGAAAAGCCCAAUUCCCCACAUCCUGUCGGUGUGUGUGACUAGCGAUGGGAUAUCAGAAGGGAUGGGCAAAACCGGCCCCAAAUCCCACCGUUCGCAUUUAAUAGCGUUUUUACCGGGCGGAUUGGAGUUUUUCCAGAGCGGUGAUAAUCGGUGGUGCUUUUGUACUUAGAUUUUCUGUGGUCUUAAUGAGACGUGGACAGUUGUGGCCGCCCGCUGAUUAUUUUAGGUUCUCCUCGUGGUUUAAAAUAAAGGUUUUCUUGCCCGCAAAACUCCAAGACUCAGCACCGUCUCUGAAUUUUGGGGAGUCUGUUGCCGUUUUCUUCGGAGCAGGCCGCCACUCUCAGUCUUCUGAGCCCGGAUAUUCCCGGUAAUGAGCCAAUUGUUCGCGCUUCAAAAUGGCAACCUGUGAGGCAAAAUAUCCUCCGGGAAAGUGGCCCGAGAACAACACGGGAAUCGAUUGGAAUGCAGAAAAAUCAAUGAAAAAUCCAAUUAAUAAAGUCUUCCCAAAUCCCGAUAAUAAUAGUUAUGGUACUCAUCAAGCGCUUACUAUGUGCCAAGCACUGGUCUAAGCGCUGGGGUAGAUACGAGAUAAUCAGGCUGGACCCAACCCCUUUCCCUCAUGGGGCUCACGCUCUUCGGCGUGGCCUAUUGGCGAGAGCGGGGGCUUGGGAGUCAGAGGUCGUGGGUUCUGAUCCCGGCCCUGCCGCUUGUCAGCUGGGUGACUUUGGGCGAGUCACUUCACUUCUCUGUGCCUCAGUUGCCCUCUCUGUAUAAUGGCGAUGAAGACUGUGAGCCCCAUGCGGGACAACCCGAUUACCCUAUAUCUACCCCAGUGCUUAGAGAAGCAGCGUGGCUCAGUGGAAAGAGCACGGGCUUUGGAGUCAGAGGUCAUGGGUUCGAAUCCCGGCUCGGCCACUUGUCAGCCGUGUGUCUUCGGGCGAGUCGCUUCACUUCUCGGUGCCUCAGUGACCUCAUCUGUAAAAUGGGGAUGAAGACCGUGAGCCCCACGUGGGACAACCCGAUUCCCCUGUGUCUACCCCAGCGCUUAGAACAGUGCUCGGCACGUAGUGAGCGCUUAACAAAUACCGACAUUAUUAUUAUUAUUAUUAUUAUUAUUAGAACAGUGCUUGACAUAUGGUAAACACAUGCCGUUAUUUUUUUUUCAUCCCCAUUUUACAGAUGAGGGAACCGAGGCCCAGAGAGGUGAGGUGACUCGCCCAAGGUCACACAACAGGCAAGGGGCAAAGCCAGAAGUAGAACCCGGGUCCUUCCGCCUCCCAGGCCCGUGCUCCGCCCACCAGGCCGUGAGGUAACCGAGGCACGGAGAUGUGAACCGACCUGCCCAGGGUCACGCAGCAGACAAGUGGCAGAGCCGGGAUUAGAACCCAGAUCUUUCCGACUCCCAGGCCCGGGGCUUCUACCCACGAGGCCGCCCUGAGGACCGUGGCCAGAGGCCAAACCGGGGUGCGGGGGAGUGGAAUACGUCGAACUCCGGAAGAGAGAAGAAAGGAACAGCGCGCCCCGGUCGUGGUCUCCUGCGAAGAGGGCCGAGUUUUCUCUGAGAAGCGCUGUCGGUUCCGGACGGAACUGGCUUAGAACGGGACGUUUGGCAUUAGCCACGGGCCAGUGGAAGUCACGGGGGCGGGCGGGGCGGACCCCGACCGGCUAAAGGAAGGCUUUCGAAGGCUCUAAUCCUUUCUCCCAGAUUCGACGUCGCCGAGAAAAGUUACACCGGGGGGCCGUCGGGUUAGCCGACGGGUCGGCUACCGCCGGGCUGGCCUCGGCCUGCCCCUCUAGCCCGGAGAAUUGCAAUUCCUCCUUGUGGGCAGGGAAUGGGUCUGCUUACUGUUUUCCUGUCCUCUCCCGAGCGCUCAGUGUAGUGCUCCGCACCGGUAAGCGCUCAAGUGAAUACCAUCGAAUGAAUGAAUCGAUGAACGAAAGAACGCAGGCGGUGAUUCUCCUCUCGGACUCUCAACCUCCGGCCGCUUCUCUGCUGCGUGAGCUUGGGCAAGUCGCUCGGCUUCUCUGUGCCUCAGUUACCUCAUCUGGAAAAAGGGGAUCGAGGUGACGAUCCCCGGGAGGGACGGACCGUGUCCGACCCCAUUCGCUUGUGUCCACCCCGGUGCUCAAUACGGUGCCUGGCACGUAGUAAGCGCUUAACAAAUACCAUCAUCAUCGUUAUUAUUAUUAUUGUUAGGGACGGAUCAACCGCAUCUCCAACUUUCCCUCUACUUCCCUAAAUUUCCCUCUAACGGUACAGCACGGACCGCUCGGUCAUGACUCUGCCCCGGAUCCCCUCUCCAAACCGGCUCCACCCCUCGUCUGCUGUGUGACCUCAGGCAAGGCACUUCACUUCUCUGUACCUCAUUUAUCUCAUCUGUAAAAUGGGGAUUAAGAUGACGAGCCUCGUGCGGAAAAGGGACUGCGUUCAGCCUGACUGGCUGCUAUCGACCCCAGCGCUUAGUCCAGUGCUUGGUACACAGUAAGCGCUUAACAGAUACCUUAAAAAUAAACAAAAAACAAAAAAUCUCUAUCGAUUAUUAUCAUUAUAGUAAUUGUUAAGCCCUUACAAUUGUCAAGCCCUGGGGUAGAUACAAGUUAAUCAGGUCAGACACGGUCCCUGUUCCACACGGUGCUCAGAGUUUAAAUAGGGAGGAGGGAGGAGAGGAGCAGCGUGGCUCAGUGGAAAGAGCCCGGGCUUGGGAGCCAGAGGUCAUGGGUUCGACUCCCCGAUCUGCCACUCGGCAGCUGUGUGACUGUGGGCGAGUCGCUUCACUUCUCUGGGCCUCAGUUCCCUCAUCUGGAAAAUGGGGAUGAAGACUGUGAGCCUCACGUGGGACAACCUGAUUACCCUGUAUCCACCCCCACGCUUAGAACAGUGCUCUGCACGUAGUAAGUGCUCAACAAAUACCAACAUUUUUAUUAUUAUUAUUAUCAUUAUUAUUAGGCAUCCAAUCUUCAUUUUACAGAAGAGAAAACUGAGGCACAGGGAAGGUAAUAAUAAUAAUAAUAAUAAUAAUAAUAAUAAUGUUGGUAUUUGUUAAGCACUCACUAUGUGCCGAGCACUGUUCUAAGCGCUGGGGUAGACACAGGGGAAUCGGGUUGUCUCACGUGGGGCUCACAGUCUUCAUCCCCAUUUUACAGAUGA
rnacentral:lncRNA from 1 species